rnacentral:rRNA from 1 species
AAGAAAGUAAGCAAGGGCGUACGGGGGAUGCCUAGGCUCUUGGAGGCGAAGAAGGACGUGUUAAGCUGCGAAAAGCUGCGGGGAUUUGCAAAAAAGACUUGAUCCGCAGAUGUCCGAAUGGGGCAACCCGGCAGGUCGGAGACCUGUCACACCGGCAACGGUGAGCAAACCCUAUGAACUGAAACAUCUUAGUAAUAGGAGGAGGAGAAAGAAACAUCGAUUUCCCGAGUAGUGGCGAGCGAAAAGGAAAGAGCCCAAACCGGCGUUGUUACGGCAAUGCCGGGGUUAUAGGACUGCGAUAUCUUAAUACCAACGAACGAGAAAUGACUGGAAAGUCGUACCGUAGAGGGUGAAAGUCCCGUAUUGGUAAGUUCGGUAAGCGGUAGCAGUAUCCUGAGUAUGGCGGGACACGAGGAAUCCUGUCAGAAUUUGCGGGGACCACCCCGUAAGGCUAAAUACUCCCAAGAGACCGAUAGUGGACCAGUACCGUGAGGGAAAGGUGAAAAGUACCCCGAACAGGGGAGUGAAAAAGAACCUGAAACCGUACGCUUACAACCUGUCGGAGCCGCUUCGUGCGGUGACGGCGUGCCUUUUGGAUAAUGAACCUACGAGUUACUAAUCACUAGCGAGGUUAAGGACUAUAAAGUCCGGAGCCGAAGCGAAAGCGAGUCUGAAUAGGGCGUAUAGUUAGUGGUUGUAGACGCGAAACCUUGCGAUCUACCCAUGAGCAGGAUGAAGGUUGGGUAAAACCAACUGGAGGUCCGCACCGGUAAACGUUGAAAAGUUUUCGGAUGACUUGUGGGUAGGGGUGAAAGGCUAAUCAAGCUGGGAAAUAGCUCGUACUCCCCGAAAUGCUUUUAGGAGCAGCGUUGUAAUAGUCUACUGGAGGUAGAGCUACUGAUUGGAUGCGGGGGCUUCACCGCCUACCAAAUCCUGACAAACUCCGAAUGCCAGUAGAAUGAUUUGCAGCAGUGAGCCGCUGGGUGCUAAUGUCCGGCGACUAAAGAGGAACAACUCAGACCAUCAGCUAAGGCCCCCAAACAUACACUAAGUUGAACUAACGAUGUGCGACUGCAGCGACAGCUAGGAUGUUAGCUUGGAAGCAGCUAUUCAUUUAAAGAGUGCGUAACAGCUCACUAGUCGAGCGGUUGUGCGUGGAUAAUAACCGGGCAUCAAGUGUAUUGCCGAAGCUAUGGACUCUACGGAGUGGUAGGGGAGCAUUCCAUCGACGUCGAAGCCGAUUCGUGAGGAUCGGGGGAGUUUAUGGAAAAGCAAAUGUAGGUAUAAGUAACGAUAAGGCGGGAGAGUAACCCGCCCACCGCAAGACCAAGGUUUCCUGAUCAACGUUAAUCGGAUCAGGGUCAGUCGGGGCCUAAGGGUAAGCCGCAUGGUGAUCUCGAUGGACAAUCGGUUAAUAUUCCGAUACUGAUAUGAACUGCGACGGAGGGACGGAGAAGCGUAAGCUACGCCAACAGACGGAAUUGUUGGUUAAAGGGUGUAGGUAUAUGAUUCGGUUAAUAGCUGAUUCAUGCUGAAACCUGACAGUACCGAGCGGCUACGGCCAAUCGGAUAGUUAGCCCAAGCAAGCUUCCGAGAAAAACUUCUAAGCUUCAGGUUCAUAUCACCCGUACCGUAAACCGACACAGGUGGUCGAGGAGAGUAUCCUCAGGUGCUUGAGUGAAUCACGGAUAAGGAACUAGGCAAAUUGACCCCGUAACUUCGGGAAAAGGGGUCCCUACGCAAGUAGGGCGCAGCGAAGAGGUCCAGGCAACUGUUUAACAAAAACAUAUGGCUCUGCUAAUUCGAGAGAAGAAGUAUAGGGCCUGACACCUGCCCGGUGCUGGAAGGUUAAGAGGGGAUGUCAGCGCAAGCGAAGCAUUGAAUCGAAGCCCCAGUAAACGGCGGCCGUAACUAUAACGGUCCUAAGGUAGCGAAAUUCCUUGUCGGGUAAGUUC